GUGUCAGCAGCCGCGGUAAGACAGAGGUGGCAAGCGUUGUUCGGAUUUAUUGGGUGUAAAGGGCAGGUAGGUGGUUAUGUAAGUCUGGUGUGAAAUCCCACGGCUCAACCGUGGAACUGCAUUGGAAACUGCGUAACUUGAGUACUGGAGAGGUGAGGGGAAUUCUCGGUGUAAGGGUGAAAUCUGUAGAUAUCGAGAGGAACACCAGUGGCGAAGGCGCCUCACUGGCCGGUUACUGACACUGAGCUGCGAAAGCAAGGGGAGCAAACAGGAUUAGAAACCCUCGUAGUCC
rnacentral:rRNA from 1 species